UGCUUGUUGGUCUUGGGGUAUGAUUGUUGCUUUGAGUCCAAGAGGACCCAGGUUCAAAUCCCAGACAAGCCC